UGUGGCGGCCUCCUCGGCCUCCAGUUAGGAUGGGCUGUGCUGCUCUCAGCGCUGCCUGUGACUGUCUGCCCCAGGAACUGGGUUUGGGGGUGCUAUAGGGAGGGGACAGGGGGCCGCAGGAGCCUGUGGCCCUGGUGUGGGGAAGCAGACCCCUCCCUUGUCUCUGAGUCCCUGCUUUGAUGUGACUCUGGGGGAGAGUGGCAUUGCACAGGAAAGCAUCCUCUGCACUGAGGGUUGCUGCGGGAACCAAGCACCUUGCCUGUCCCCAACAGGUUGUCCCCAACAGCAUGCAGAGGUGGCUGCUGUGUGGAUCCCCAUUUUUCUUAAAGGGGGACACAGAGAUGGAAAGAGGUUUCACGCUUGCUCUCACAUCAGACAACAGUGUGAGGUGGAGCAGCUAGCUCAGGCCCAGAGGAUGGUAUGAACGGCUCCACUGGAGAAGCAUUUGGAAAUUAAAGAGGAGCAAAGCAAAGCUUUGGGAUCCCUCUCUACCCACCGGCAACAUCUGGAGUUGAACCCUGGCGUGGUGAGGAAGCUGACACGGGUCACCAUAAGCUGCUUAACACAUGAGCAUUUACCACACUGAGGAGAGAAGGUCGGAACCCUGCCGGAGACAAAGACAUGGGUCUGCAUCUCCUCCAGCUGCUCCCAGAACCUGGCCUGGACCCAAUAACACUGAAGGUCCAUGCAUACAUUAGGCGCUUGGGUUGAGAUGCCAGGAGCCUCCGAAAUGUGACACACAGUCAACUCUUCACCGUGCGUUCCUAAUCCCACCUGACUGAGAAGAGUGACCAGCGGACCUAAGGCUCUCUUCUGGCCUACAUAGACGCCUGCUCUCACAUGCAAAAAAAAGCCCACCCCUACAUGUCUAAACACAAAUAAAAUCAUUUAUAAACAAUAUAAAUAAAAUAAACAAAACUAAAAUCUUUGUAAAUGACACCCCCACACCCUUUUGCAAUCAUCUGUUUCCUAUUCUUGUCCCCUCCCCCACCCCCAAGUCCUUCCCUCAGCCCCAGGCUCCACUGAGCUUCACACUCAGCCUCCUCUUCAAGAGGCCUCUGAGCAGAUUUGAAGAUGGAGUUCAGCUGGGACUGCAUUACCCACCCAGACGUUGUGUCCUGGAGCCAGCCUGGCCUGUGGGGAGAAGGCUCUCUCCAGUGCCGGGAGGAGUGUCCACACCCUGGUCCCCACGGACCAUGCAGGGAUCCUCUGGAGGCACCUGGAACAGUUUCUUACGCACAGGACAGGUUCCCAAGCAGCGCAGGGUCAGUGGGCACUGUGACUUUGUGUAUGCCGUUCUCCCUGCCCCAAACACCCUUGUCAGUUACUAAGUCCCACUCAGGUGAUUGAGCCUGGGUCAUCUCCAUUCUGGGGAAAGAAUCAGGAGGCAGCUUAGUGGAGCUGAGUCCAUGACUCUUACAGUUUGUAUAAGCUUGGCCCAGGGAGUGGCUCUAUUAGAAGGUGUGGCCCUUUCGGAGUAGGUGUGUCACUGUGGGUGUGGGUUUAAGACCCUCAUCCUAGCUGCCUGGAAGUCAGUCUUCUGCUAGCAGCCUUCAGAUGUAGAUGUAGAACUCUCAGCUCC